AGAUGGUGAGCUGGAGGUGCUGAGAGCUCCAAGUCAGAGGGGAAGUCAAAUACUCGGCCACACUCUCACUCUCUGUUUAUGCUUUUUUGCAAGAAACUGCCCAACCCAUAGUUCGACGGUCUUCCAAAUGCCAGUGGGCACGAAUGAUGGUUUUCUCCCAAGUCCCUCUUCAGAACUGAAUCUCUCCACAUCCCUUUCAGGGACUGCACUGUCUCCUCUAAGCUCAAGACUUAUUCACCCCCAGAACUGCUUCUUCCUAGUAUAAGGAAUUAGUAUAAGUAUACGGAGCAAGCAAAUUGGUUAUACAAGAUAGCUUGAAAACCUUUGGUAUAGGUUUCAAAUCUUCACUUGCUUCAUUGAGCUCAUCUCUCCUGCUUUGCAAAGGUUCAUCCAUGUUGCUGUGAAUAAUUGGAGUCCUGCUUUUAUCUUUAAAAAUACCCUGGAGGAGUGAGCCAGCAUUGUAGCCAUUGUCUGACAAGGCAGAGAGCUAAUGGUAUGGAAGUAAAGUGAAGUGCUCUCAAGAAUCCUUCUGUGGAUCACUGAUAUAAAGUCUAGACACAGCAUAAAAAAACAACUAGUAAGACACUGGAGAGUGUCCAAAAUGAGACAGAAGCCAGAAGAUAGUUCAUCUUCAGAAAAAACUUCAACAGGAAAUGGAAACGGUUGAAAGCUUGCGGCUUUGUCUUUGCAGGACGCUCAUCAUGAGUUGGAAGCAGAAACUCACAGCCUCAUUACUCAGGGUGUAAAAAACCAAGAACAUAAUUCUAGAAGAGAGCAGGGUCCAACGUAUGAAUAUAUACUAUGUGCAAUUCCUUGUUUGAUUGUGCAUGCUAGUGGUUAUACUGAGAGGACUCAAAGAAAAUGCAAGAAGAGAAAUAAUAGAACCUAUCCUUAAAAGACAGAGCUGUACUGGGUGAUAUCCAUGAAUACGCUCUUUUUUUUUAAUUAAGUGUAUUUUCCAAAUAUGUAGCUCACAUGGCAAAAAGCUAAAAAGCCUUAUUGGCUUAAAGGAUCAGAGAACAGAGACUGAGGCAGAUAGAGAAUUAGCAGAGGAAUUUCCAGAAUCAAACAACCUGAGAGAGGAUAAACUCCAAAAUAUGAGUAGAAGCACUACUUAAAUCUGUAAUGGUUACCAAAUUAUAAAUAUAAGGGGAUAAUACAAAGAGAUUGGGUUGUAAUAGCAACAACCUGAAGCUGUAAGAAGUAUGUAAAGAUUUGAAAUGCUGCAUAUCAUGGAAGAGAUGAACAGAAUAACCAGAACAACACACAGAUUGCAAAAUAGCUCUGCAAUAGUAUCUGAACUAUUCAGUUUUACACUGAAAAUUUGAAGACAUACAUAGUGACAGUAAACCGUGAUCCAUACUCAGGAAAAAUGACAGCAAAUGGAACAGAGACUAAACAUGCCCACAUGUUAUAUACGGCAGACCAAGAUUUAAAAGUAUAUGUUAUGAAUACCUUC
rnacentral:lncRNA from 1 species